ACGGGAGGCAGCAGUGGGGAAUAUUGCACAAUGGGGGAAACCCUGAUGCAGCAACGCCGCGUGAGUGAUGACGGUCUUCGGAUUGUAAAGCUCUGUCUUUGGGGACGAUAAUGACGGUACCCAAGGAGGAAGCCACGGCUAACUACGUGCCAGCAGCCGCGGUAAUACGUAGGGAGCAAGCGUUAUCCGGAAUUACUGGGUGUAAAGGGAGUGUAGGCGGGACUGUAAGUCAGAUGUGAAAUAUGCCGGCUCAACUGGCAGACUGCAUUUGAAACUGCGGUUCUUGAGUGAAGUAGAGGUAAGCGGAAUUCCUAGUGUAGCGGUGAAAUGCGUAGAUAUUAGGAGGAACAUCAGUGGCGAAGGCGGCUUACUGGGCUUUAACUGACGCUGAGGCUCGAAAGCGUGGGGAGCAAACAGGAUUAGAUACCCUGGUA
rnacentral:rRNA from 1 species